SAAACAUGUUUGUGAAGUGCAAUUCYYGUGGGCUCGGAGACGAUGUCCCCACGARCGGUCGUUCUUCACGAUACAAUUGKAUWCAUCCAAAAAKCCUUUCGGCAACGAAUAUCUGGGCUCUUGGAUCCCUAAAGAACGAAGGCAAAUGCGAUACUGGGUCAKAC
rnacentral:rRNA from 1 species